rnacentral:rRNA from 1 species
AACACGUGGAUAACCUACCUAUAAGACUGGGAUAACUUCGGGAAACCGGAGCUAAUACCGGAUAACAUAUUGAACCGCAUGGUUCAAUAGUGAAAGGCGGCUUUGCUGUCACUUAUAGAUGGAUCCGCGCCGUAUUAGCUAGUUGGUAAGGUAACGGCUUACCAAGGCAACGAUACGUAGCCGACCUGAGAGGGUGAUCGGCCACACUGGAACUGAGACACGGUCCAGACUCCUACGGGAGGCAGCAGUAGGGAAUCUUCCGCAAUGGGCGAAAGCCUGACGGAGCAACGCCGCGUGAGUGAUGAAGGUCUUCGGAUCGUAAAACUCUGUUAUCAGGGAAGAACAAAUGUGUAAGUAACUGUGCACAUCUUGACGGUACCUGAUCAGAAAGCCACGGCUAACUACGUGCCAGCAGCCGCGGUAAUACGUAGGUGGCAAGCGUUAUCCGGAAUUAUUGGGCGUAAAGCGCGCG